UUAAAAACUGUGAAGGGAAAAAGAUAUUUGUUUUAGAGCGAAGAGAGCUGUUGGUUGGUGUAAAACAGUGUCAAAACUUAUAUGUAUAACUCAUCCCGGAGUUUCUUGUCUUAUAAGGGCAAGACGGCAGACCUCGUUAUUGGUCAGAACUUUGUUGGAAGUUCUUAAGGAGUAUAUGGUGACAUAUGCUUAAACUUGGGUGGUACCACGGAUAAUUUGUUCGUCCCUAUU
rnacentral:ncRNA from 1 species